rnacentral:rRNA from 1 species
UACGUAGGGUGCAAGCGUUACUCGGAAUUACUGGGCGUAAAGGGUGCGUAGGUGGUUCUUUAAGUCUGCUGUGAAAGCCCCGGGCUCAACCUGGGAAUGGCAGUGGAUACUGGAGAGCUAGAGUGCGGUAGAGGGUAGUGGAAUUCCCGGUGUAGCAGUGAAAUGCGUAGAGAUCGGGAGGAACACCAGUGGCGAAGGCGGCUACCUGGACCAGCACUGACACUGAAGCACAAAAGCGUGGGGAGCAAACAGG